ensembl:miRNA
GAGAUGGGAGGAUUGCUUGAGCGCAGGCAGUUGAGGCUGCGGUGAGCUGUGAUCAUACCACUGCACUCCAGCCUGGGUGACAGAGCGAGACCUUGUCUCA